AGCAGGGAGAGAGAGACAAAGAGAGAACAGCUUUCCUAGAGUGUAUUCAAACUCAUCUGGUGUCAGCUCGAUUCAGUCAGUAGCACUCUUGCCUCUAUGCCAGAAGGAUAUGGGUUCAAGCUUCGUGUUUCGACUACUGAAUAAGAGAUUAAUGAUUGGAACGGGCUUCCAGGAAAGUUGGUUCAGGCAGAAAUGUUGAAUCAAUUUAAGACGGAGUAUGAUGCUGAAAUGAAAGGAGUGUGUGUCUUCUGGAUGGAUGAGAUCAAAUGGACCAAAUGGUUUUAUAUAUCCGUACUUCUCUUAUGAUUUACAUCAGAGAGAAACAUGUAACUGUGAAUCAGCCUGAAUAUCUAGUCGAAAACAGUGAGUCCUGUUUUGAGUACAUACCAAUGACUUGAUGGGAUGCAUUAAAAUAUUUAUCAUAACCUGCCUUCAGAAAUAUGUCUAUGAAAAAUGAAAUCCAAAUAUGGAUUAUGAAA